rfam:Felis catus isolate Cinnamon breed Abyssinian chromosome C2, whole genome shotgun sequence.
GCCUGACUGGCUCAGUUGGUUAAGCGUCCGACUUCGGAUCAGGUCAUGAUCUCACUGUUCGUGAGUUCGAGUUCCGCGUCGGGCU